rnacentral:ncRNA from 2 species
AAACUACAUAAACAAUAACGAUGUAUAACCUCGAGAAUAUGGCUUGAGGGUUUCUACCAGGAACCGAAAAAUCCUGACUACAAAAAUGCAAUAACAUUUU